UAGCCCAGGAAGCUCAGGUGCAUGCAAUACACCUGCAUGACUGAAAGAGAUGGAGCUCGGAUUCAUCCUCCUCAACCUCAUUAGCAGUUAGCAGCCAAGGGAGUAAUAUUUUUCUGGAUAACACUUGCACUCUUCAUGAAUUGUCAGGAUUUAUUGGAAGGGAGCAUCACUAACACAGCGAAAUGCAAGAAAUAGAAGAUUCUAUUACAGGGAAAUAUUAAGGUCAAUCAUCAAAAAAACUUGUAAAUACCUGAAAGUAGUGAAAACAAGGUGGAUUUUAUCACAGCAGAAAACCACACCAUGGCAUAGUAAGAAUUGAAUUUAGCCCUUCCAGAUCAAGUGUGAUCUUUGGCCAAAUUAUUAUAUUUAACCUCACUGUGAAAAAGAUGUCCUAAAUUAUGAAGACCCUGCUCUGCCCUUGAAUAAGCACAUCAGACACAGACCUCAGUGGGAGGAGUAUUGGCUGCUUUUAUGGUGGUGGAAUGGAGUUUUGCAGUAAAAGUGUGGCAUCUGGUGGUCCAGAGAAGAAAUGGCAGCCCACUCUGUGAAGGAACAAAUGGUCACCGGCUGAACUAGCUCAUCAGCUUGUAAUAGAAUUAUUUCCAGUGUGCGUGUAUGAGAGGAUUCUGGCUUCUGGGUAACCCCCCAGUAUUAAUUGCUGCAGCUUGUUUUGUGUCGUUCCUGCAGAAGGCCCGUAUUUCUUCCCAAAGAGAGAAAUAUUUUCAUAUAUUUUCAGAACUGUGAUGAUUUUUCAAUGUCAGAUAAUGACUCUUGUAACCACCGACAGCAGCAUCCCCACUGGGGAUUCCUGUUUGGAGGUCUGAAAAUGAAUUAGGAGAAUUUUAGGAUAGUAAAACCCAAGUACAGUGUGCUAAGGAAAGGGAAUUUCUUCUGCCCUGUGGUGAACCACAUGAAUGCAUCUCCUCACAACUAAAUUCAUGAGAAACCAUUCCUUGUCAGUUUGCUUGAAGAGCAGUGAAUUGUCAGAACUCAUGAACAUGUGGACAAGGAGCACAGAAGAAGGGACCUUCAAAAACCCCACAUCCAUUCCACGUUUUUUAAAUGCAGUUGUUAUGUAAUACUUUUCAACAAGUGAUAAAAUUCUUCUUCUAAACAAUCAAGAUUUUUCAAUUUUUUUUUUCCCAAAAGAUUGUUGCCAAGCAAAAAUUCUUUAAAGAAUUAUCUGCUAAGUUUCUUCUGUCUCCAGACUGUCCGUUGUCCUGAUCACCUUGCUAACACUUCCCCAGACAAGUUUACUUUUUCAGUUAUCUUCUGUGAAUGGGGCUAGCCAGUUUCAUAGCAUUCCACAUGAGAUCUAUCCGGAGCUACCACUAAUGGUAUGAAUUGUGGAAAAUAAUUCGCAUGAUGUUGCCUUUUAUUUUCCAUGGCUGCAACUUGAGCAAGUUUAUAGAAGUGCUUGAACAAAUGGUAUCCUAGGUCACCUCUUCAUCUCAUCUUCCUCUUCAUCAUCAGUGUUCAGAGAAGCUCCGUAAUAAUCUCCCUCCAAACUAAUGAUCCCUCCUUAACACUAUCUGGUGUCACCACUCUUCAUCAAUUCCUUCACCUGUCUUACAGUUUCCCCUACUAACAUCAUUCUUCCUUAGUCUAUUAUUAUUUCCUGUCCAUCAGACUGGAUGCUUUGUUGAAGUUCAGAGGGAUCAUAUCUCCAGAAUUUUCUUUGUCUUGAAAUAACAGACAAGUAACAACAGAGGGUGUCUGAUGCUGAAUUGUGCUUGUAGAGAGCAGCAUGAAUUCUCAAGGUCUGAUUUGUGGAUUCUGAAUUGCAAAGUUCAGCGAUCCUUGCACUUGGCAAGCACCUGGAAUUGAAGCUUGUGCAACCAAGCUCUGUAUGUAAUUUUGUAAAAUGAGAGCUGUUUAUCUCAGCGGCUGAAAUAUUCAUUAUUGAAAAUAAGCGUUUCAGUGUUCAGAGGCGGAAUCGUGGGAUGAGAAUAACAACGAUCUGGGAAGUGGUAAAAAAUUCCAUGUCUCUAAGCGGUGUAGGGUCUGACCCUGCAGAAGGACGAUAGGAGAACUCCUUCCGCCUUGGAGCUGCUUUUGACUCCGUCCCAUUGUUUCAGCUUGGCUGCUGUUGGUGGUGGCAGGGAAAUACCGAUUUUGGCUGAAAGAGAGGAGGACGACGAGAAAAGGGAUGAAAUUGGAAAACACCAACCUUUGCAUCUUUUCCUGAAUUGUUCUAGUAAUUGGCAGGCUACAUGGGCUUUGUGUUAAAAAGGAGCCUAUUAGCACCUCUAUUGAAAAAGCACCUGCCAUUUGGCCACAUUUUAUGCGUGAGAAAUCACCCCACUUCAAUGUAGCAGCGAAAUGCUCUCAGAUUCUUUCCUUGCUUUGCUUUCUUUCUGCACUCAGACUUUGCAGGUUACACAUAGUAUUCUCAAAGGCCAGUGGAACUGGCUCCCUCAAGCACAGGCCCCAAUAAAUGAAUUUGAGCUCGCUUGGGAACUUGCUUGUCCUGUGCAUCAGUGGCUGUUUCCUGGCACUGAUUCAGCAGGUUAAGAGCCAGUUUGAAAUGCUUAGGGAACAAAAAGCAGAAAGUAGAUAUGGGGGGAAAAUGUGGAUUGGAACAAGCAUAUUGUGGGAGUUUUCCACUGUAGAUUUGAUUAUAUAUAUUUUUUAAGGAUAGACGGCAAACUAACGGCAACAGGAACAAAUCACAAGGAAAAGCAGAUGUUCAGAGGGAGGGCUGGGGCAAAGAAUAGCACGUGGGAGCUGCCUGCCUCUGGCAGUGGUGCCGGGAUUGUUUGAGCUGGUGUGGUAAAAGGAGUCUGUUCUCUUUAAAAUGCUAGCCUCAGAGGCAAAGCCAAACAGAGCUAUUGUGCCAUCCUCUGCAAUAACGUUUUGAUGUGCAAUCUCCACAUUGAUAUGAUUAAUUGUUAAGUCAAAUAAGAGACAGUGUGACAGAAAUGUUAUUUAACUGAUUUGCCAAACUGAAUAAAGUAUGGUCUGGUCUUGUUUAUAAUCAAAAUGGGAAAGUGUUUACUAGGAUAUUCAGGGGCCUCCAACAAGAGAACAAAAUAGAUUCAAAGCAAACA